GAUGAACGCUAGCGGCAGGCUUAAUACAUGCAAGUUGAGGGGCAGCAUGAUAUACGCGAGUAUAUUGAUGGCGACCGGCGGACGGGUGAGUAAAAGGUAGGAGACCUACCUCAUACAGGGGGAUAGCAUAGAGAAAUCUGUGGUAAUACCCCAUGAGGUUAUAUGAAUAGAGGCAUAUAAUCAAAGUAUACGGAAGUAUGCGGUAUGAGAGGGGCCUACUGACCAUUAGCUAGUUGGUGAGGUAAGGGCUCACCAAGGCGAAGAUGGUUAGGGGUUUUGAGAGAGAGACCCCCCACAUUGGAACUGAGAGACGGUCCAGACUCCUACGGGAGGCAGCAGUGGGGAAUAUUGGGCAAUGGGCGGAAGCCUGACCCAGCCAUGCCGCGUGAAGGAAGACGGCCUUAUGGGUUUAAACUUCUUUACUAUGCGAAUAGAGGUUAGUACGAGGUACUAAUAGGAAGGUAGUAUAGUAAAAGCACCGGCUAACUCCGUGCCAGC
rnacentral:rRNA from 1 species